rnacentral:lncRNA from 1 species
GAGAGUCGCACAAGUAGUAUAACUCGGAAGUCCGAGGUCGAAUCCUCAGGGAACGGUGUAAGUAUUAUUAGCGUAAUUUCAGAUGUAAUUUUUAGUUGAUUUUCAGAAAUCAAAAGCAGAGAAUAAUAGGUAAUUAAACAAAGUUCAAGAAUAUCGAAAUGGCUAGGGAUCCGGAAUCCUCCUUGACAAUAUUACUUUCAACAAAUAAACUCAACGAUUCUCGAUUAAGGAUUAAUUAGAUAGAAUAGUUUUAAUCAUGGAGUAUACAAUCUGAAAACAUGAAUUCAACAUCUAAGUAUUUAUCGUGCCGGUUACGUCUACGACAAAUCAAACAUCGAAACAAUCCAUGCAUCAAUAUAUAUAUAAACCAUAAAAGAUCUAUUUAAUAAAUAAAUAUUCAAGAAUUUAAAACAUACCAAUGGAUAUAAAACAAUUAGAAUAAAAGUUUAGAGUAUACUUGAUGAAAGCAACAUGACAAGGAUUCAUCCAUCACCCUUUGCCAAAGGAUUAGCAAACCAUUACAAACAUCAACAUCUCUCCCUUUCUCACUCUUUUUUUUUUUAAAUAACAGAAACAGGGCAUCCCCUGUUUCUCUCUUCUUCCUUUUUUUAUUCCAAUCGCAGAGGCCUCCACUGUUCUUCCCCCCGACUCCUUUCUUCUUCCUCCCCUGUUUGUGUGUGGGAAUGAAGCACCCCCUCCCAGCCGACCCCUCCCCU